rnacentral:rRNA from 1 species
GGACUACUGGGGUUUCUAAUCCUGUUCGCUCCCCACGCUUUCGCUCCUCAGCGUCAGUUCCGGCCCAGAGUGCCGCCUUCGCCACUGGUGUUCCUCCCGAUAUCUGCGCAUUUCACCGCUACACCGGGAAUUCCGCACUCCCCUACCGGACUCGAGUCACGACAGUAUCGAGUGGCCCCUCCACGUUGAGCGUGGAGAUUUCACACCCGACUAAUCGAACCGCCUACGAGCUCUUUACGCCCAAUGAUUCCGGACAACGCUAGACCCCUACGUAUUACCGCGGCUGCUGGCAC